AUGAGGGUGACCGAGUGUGGGGAGGAAGCGUGAAUCGAAGCCAUGAGCCGAUGUACAAGAACCGGAUAAAAGGCGCGGCCGAUCAGGGCGAGCGGGCACAAAACCGCGAAGCUCUUGUGGUCAAGGAUCAGGCUGUGUAAAUCCGGCGGUUGUGUGGUGAAGGAUUGCGUUC
rfam:Pseudomonas fluorescens HK44 Contig28, whole genome shotgun sequence.